rnacentral:misc_RNA from 1 species
GAUGAAGAACGUAGCGAAAUGCGAUAAGUAAUGUGAAUUGCAGAAUUCAGUGAAUCAUCGAAUCUUUGAACGCACAUUGCGCCCUCUGGUAUUCCGGGGGGCAUGCCUGUUCGAGCGUCAUUAUAACCACUCAAGCUCUCGCUUGGUAUUGGGGUUCGCGGUUCCGCGGCCCCUAAAAUCAGUGGCGGUGCCUGUCGGCUCUACGCGUAGUAAUACUCCUCGCGAUUGAGUCCGGUAGGUCUACUUGCCAGCAACCCCCAAUUUUUACAGGUUGACCUCGGAUCAGGUAGGGAUACCCGCUGAACUUAAGCAUAUCAAUAAGCAGGA